UAAAUACCGAACAAUUUUUUU
rnacentral:piRNA from 1 species